GGUGCCUGAAGGGUCGACGUAUGGGCCGGUCUUGAAAACCGUCGUGGCAGCGAUGUCACCGUGGGUUCAAAUCCCACACCCACCG
rnacentral:tRNA from 1 species